AUUCUCAUAAAGGUUAAAUUACACUUGGUCCCAACAUCUGCUACAUUUACUAAAUAGCACGAGUAGAGAAUACUAGAUUAAACAAGUGUCACUGUGCACCCGAAGAAAACGAAAAAACGAAAAGCAAACUAGGAAGUAUAUUACAAGUUCUAAAGAAUCUAUUCACAGGCCAAUUUAGUGCCAAAACUGGUCAGGCAAAUUGCAAACGCUUGGAAAGCAGACAAAGGCUUCCUGUAGUCCAUUGUAAAAACAUCAUCUCCUACUUUUCCAAACUGGAGGAUAACUGUAUCCUCGUCACCUUUUCCAUCAGGUUGGCUUUGGUCCAUCGUUGCCACUAGCUGAAAGUUUUUCACAGAUGCAACGGUGACCCUUCCAUGGAAAUUUAAACACCAACAUUGCAAAUGCUCAUGCCAUCUUGGAGCUUUGUUUUUCAGAACUGUAGAGUUGGCUUCUGCGGAACCAACCAGCUUCUUCUUCAGAGCAUCCUGAGAUUUGUCCGAGGCAGCUUCUCCAGGACAGGGGCAAUUGAGCGAACAAAUCA
rnacentral:misc_RNA from 1 species